GCAUAUCAAUAAGCGGAGGAAAAGAAACCAACCGGGAUUGCCUUAGUAACGGCGAGUGAAGCGGCAAAAGCUCAAAUUUGAAAUCUAGUACCUUCGGUGCUCGAGUUGUAAUUUGUAGAGGGGUACUUUGGGGCUGUUCCUUAUCUAUGUUCCUUGGAACAGGACGUCAUAGAGGGUGAGAAUCCCGUAUGAUGAGGAGUGCAGUUCUAUGUAAAGUCCCUUCGAAGAGUCGAGUUGUUUGGGAAUGCAGCUCUAAGUGGGUGGUAAAUUCCAUCUAAAGCUAAAUAUUGGCGAGAGACCGAUAGCGAACAAGUACAGUGAUGGAAAGAUGAAAAGAACUUUGAAAAGAGAGUGAAAAAGUACGUGAAAUUGUUGAAAGGGAAGGGCAUUUGAUCAGACAUGGUGUUUUGCGCCCUCCGCUCCUUGUGGGUGGGGGACUCUCGCUUCUCACUGGGCCAACAUCAGUUUUGGCGGCAGGAUAAAUCUACAGGAACGUGGCUUGCUUCGGGAAGUGUUAUAGCCUGUGGGAAUACUGCCAGCUGGGACUGAGGACUGCGACUUUUGUCAAGGAUGUUGGCAUAAUGGUUAUAUGCCGCCCGUCUUGAAACACGGACCAAGGAGUCUAACGUCUAUGCGAGUGUUUGGGUGUAAAACCCGUACGCGUAAUGAAAGUGAACGUAGGUUGGGGCCCUGUCAUGGGGUGCACAAUCGACCGAUCCUGAUGUUUUCAGAUGGAUUUGAGUAAGAGCAUAGCUGUUGGGACCCGAAAGAUGGUGAACUAUGCCUGAAUAGGGUGAAGCCAGAGGAAACUCUGGUGGAGGCUCGUAGCGGUUCUGACGUGCAAAUCGAUCGUCGAAUUUGGGUAUAGGGGCGAAAGACUAAUCGAACCAUCUAGUAGCUGGUUCCUGCCG
rnacentral:rRNA from 1 species